GUGUGUAUGUCUCUGUGUGUGUGUAUGUCUCUCUGUGUGCAUGUCUUUGUGCGUGUAUGUGUGUGUGUCUCUGUGUGUGUGUAUGUCUCUCUGUGUGUGUAUUUAGGUGUAUAUGUCUCUAUGUGUGUGUAUGUCUCUCUGUGUGUGUAUGUUUUUGUGUGUUUCUAUGUGUGUGUGUCUGUGUAUGUAUGUAGGCAUGUAUGCCUGUGUGUGUGCGUAUGUCUGUGUGUGCAUAUGCCUCUCUGUGUGUGUAUGUAGCUGUGUAUGUCUCUGUGUGUGUGUGUCUUUAGGUGUGUAUGUCUCUAUGUGUGUGUGUGUAUGUAUGUGUGUCUGUGUGUGUAUGUGGCUGUGUGUGUAUGUAGCUCUGUAUGUCUGUGUGUAUGUGUGUAUGUCUCUAUGUGUGUGUGUCUGUGUGUGUCUGUAGGUGUGUAUAUCUCUGUGUGUGUGUGUAUUUAGGUGUGUGUCUCUCUAUGUGUGUGUGUCUGUGUGUGUCUUUGUGUGUAUGUCUCUAUGUGUGUGUGUCUGUGUGUGUG
ensembl:lncRNA